rnacentral:rRNA from 1 species
AUGAUGAGGAAAAAUUUAUUGGAAUUUAUGAUUACAACGUAUGAUAGUAGUAGAAAGCGAUUUAUUAUUCGGCCAAAUACUAACGGCAUCAGUGUGCUUAAUGAAGAUGUUCAUGACAUAUUCGGGAUAAGUAACGAGGGUGAUGAUGUCAGUAGCAUGAUAGCAACAGUACAACUAGAUGCCAAAAAAAUUGUUCCGAAUCGGUUUCUAGACAAAAGAACAGGCCUAAUCCUCAUCGAUGAAUUGAUAAAAAAUAUUGUUAAUACUCAGUCAUAUGAUGAUGAUUUUGUGAGAAGGGCCGUACUGGUUUUUAUGGGUACAGUCUUAGCACCACAAUCCACCAAGUUUGUUCCUUAUCGUUAUUACAAAAUGGUGGAGGACGUGAACGCUAUCAAGUCAUACAAUUGGAACGAUUUCACGUUGGGGGUGUGCAUGGAUGCUAUUAAAGAAUCGGUCGAAGAUCUUGAAAAAUUUAAGUGGCCUAUUGGGAACUUGGCUCUUCUUCAGUAUAUAUACUGGGAAAAAGUUGAGCCAAUUGGUGUGGAUACAUUUGAUCCUUUGUCUCGUGAAUACCCACUAAUGCUUAACUGGCCAGAAACGGAAGGGAAAAAGCGAGACGACUAUGACAACAUGCACGAGGGUGGCACCGGCAAUAUUGAAAACUGCGUUAGCGAAGAGUACAGACGUGCUAAGGUAGCACGUGAAGGGACUGUCCUAAAGGAAGAAAUGAAGAAACCUAAACGGAAACGUGGUGGCAGGAGUAGAAAGCCAAGCACGUCCGCGGUUUCAUCGAACACGACUUGUAGUAUGGACCGUGUGAUGACAUACAUAAAGCUGUUCCACAAGGAGAUGGUAAUGGAAAGGUUGAACACGGAAGGUGUGGUGUACAAACCCAAUAAGAGGGACAACAAUGACGAAUUUGAUAAUGUAGGUGAAGGAGCUGGGGGCCAGUACAAGUCAUCUAAAUAUUGGCCAGAUAUUGAUUCAACUACCGACGUAAAGGUACGAACAUCUUUCACGGGUAUCAAUGAUACCUCCGUGCCCGUUGAUGACACGGGUGCUCCGGCGACGACACCGGGUAAAGGUGAAGCUACUGAUCCUUUCAUUAUAGACGAUAAUGGAAACUCUCCAUCUUCGGCAUCAACUGUACGUACAAAAGACUUUCCGUCUAUGUCCCGAACCCCGCAGAAUGCUAAUAUUUCUGGUGAGUCUAUGGAUGCUUUUUCACCAACAAAGUCCGAAGACACGUUUGAGAGUUUCCCGGUAGAGAGCAACAUAGGUAAUGGUGAAGGCAGUCAGGAAAAUGAUGGUAAGCGCAAAAGAAAAAAGUCGAAAUAUUGCCAAUCCCCCUACGACAUUCUCAUUACCCGCAAGAAACAUGUUAAAAAAAAUCUGUUUGCAUCGUCACCACAUUCAAUUCUAGCAAAUUCUUUUAAUAUGACUCCAGAUCACAUAGAGGCAGCGAGAGUUUUUGUUGAGACUCUAGCAUCGACAAAGAAGCAUGCACACCGAACCGUGGUCGAUAUGCCGCCACCAGAUGGGGACAUAUGCACGCCAGCUAUGCUUAACGAUGUCCUGACGUUUAAAUGGUUGCAUGGCGCUGCAUAUUUUCCUAUGCACGUUAAUGAUAAUUAUUGGAUAACCAUAGUGAUGCACACUGUCAAGGAGGAGUUUCAAGUUCUUGACUCAAAUUCUAAAGGCGCAAUUAGCCAAAGAAUUCGCAAUAUGAUUGCCACCCUGAGAGCUGAAAUUUCUAAGGAUAUUAUGGAGGCCAACUCAAUUCUUGAAUCAAAAAAAUUUCUAGAUGUCUCAUCGUGGCCAAUUAAUGAGUAUAAAAUGCCGAGACAAAACGAUGGGUAA